rnacentral:rRNA from 1 species
UGGGGAAUUUUGCACAAUGGGGGAAACCCUGAUGCAGCGACGCCGCGUGAUUUAGAAGGCCUUCGGGUUGUAAACAUCUUUUUUACGUGAUGAAAAUGACAGUACCGUAAGAAUAAGGUCCGGCUCAAUACGUGCCAGCAGCCGCGGUAAUACGUAUGGACCGAGCGUUGUCCGGAAUCAUUGGGCGUAAAGGGUACGUAGGCGGCCUAGUAAGUUAGAAGUGAAAUAAUAUAGCUCAACUAUAUAAAGCUUUUAAAACUGCUAGGCUUGAGAGAUGGAAGGGAAAGUGGAAUUCCUAGUGUAGCGGUGAAAUGCGCAGAUAUUAGGAAGAAUACCGGUGGCGAAGGCGACUUUCUGGUCAUCAUCUGACGCUGAGGUACGAAAGCGUGGGUAGCAAACAGG